AAUAAACAUAGCUGUUGUUCAUAAGCAAAACAGAAUUUUUUUUCCUAGUUAAACAGGAACACCAAAUAAAACAACCAAAAGCACAAUCAAACGUGUCAUAUCCCAAAGCUAAAGCCCCCAUUUCAGUUUUACAAAACGUUAAAGAUCCCAGUUUGCUCAGUCGCCACCUGAGCUUCAAAAGAUUGUCCUCCAUCAUUACUCUCAUCCAUAUGCGUGGAAGUUGCUGGCCCACUACUUAUAACAACUGUUUCAGAUUGCAGCCCCACAUCGGAGGUGGGCAUGAACUGGAAACUUUGUUGUUCUUCAUGUGGUUGGCUCGAUGAUGCUCCAUUCCCUCUAUCCGGCACCAUUUUUAUCUGAGGGUGGAAAUGUUUAUUCAAUGUGUUGCAGCGCAUAUCAAUCGUGUGCUUUCCCACUUCAAAAAAACCUCUCAUUUCCUUAAAUUCAAUCAAGCUCCAGUAUAUGCCAUUGCAAAAAUUUAAAGCACUACUCCUUCAGUUAUUCGUUCCAUUAAGACUGUUACAAAUUCAAUUAGAUUUAACAAAUGGAAUACUUCUCAUAUGGGUUGACACCAUUUAUAAUACGUAUCUUCCAAGUAUAGCUCACAACAAAUAAUCGAACUCAAAACUCAUAUUCUCCAAAAACAUUAGUCAAUAGGUACUUGUUGCAACUUUGAUGAGCAUUGUGUGGAUAAGGCAAACAAAUGAUACAUUACAAACUUCAUUUCUCAACAGCAACAGCAGAGAAUGGCAAAAAAAUCACAAGUAUCCGGGAAGAACCUAAAAUCCUUCUUUUUAUGGAAGCAAAGUAAAAUCAAAACUCUAAAAAUAUUUUUAAACCACCAAAUAUACAUACAAGCAUUCCAUCAUAGAUUCCUGAGUGUCUCAUCCUCGAAACUGGGUUUAUUUUGAAAUAAAAAUAAAAAGGUCUAUUGCUACACAGGCAAUCCCACAACCUUUAUCUUUUUGAGAAAUUCAUAUCGUAUCAUCUUUGGCAUUGAAUUCAAUUCACUAGGGGAAGAGGCUAUAAGUACAAUACACAAAAUGAAAGCAUCGGUUGAUUUGAUCUUGUGGAUUUUUGCGCUCAGGAAAGCAAAAACUCAGAAAAGACGAAGAAAAAAAGGUUUGGGAAUUACCUCCAUGUGCACAGCUUCAAAAAUCCAAGCUUUGUGGUCUGUUGAGUGGGGCCUCAAUUGUGGGGGCAGAAUCGAUUUGGGGUUAGGGUUUAGAAGGAUUUGAAGUUUCAAGCUUUGGCGUUGUGAAUGAAGAAGGCAUAUUAUGAUUUUAUUUGGCUGAGG
rnacentral:lncRNA from 1 species